GAUCAUUCCGCCCACAAAAGUAUCGAAUGCAGACUGGGUUUGAUGACCUCUCGGUUGAUUUGUUGUAGUUUUUUAUACUUUCAAAUCUAUUGCUCAGAACAUAAUUAGGAGCUUAAAUGCCAUAGAUAUCUGUGUUUUAUUUUAGAUUGGCUAUUAAUUAAUUGUCAGUGGUGUACUUUUCUCAGUCAUAAACACAUGUUUAUUCAUUUCUUUGAUU